AUUGAACGCUGGCGGCAGGCCUAACACAUGCGAGUCGAGCGGAUGAAGGGAGCUUGCUCCUGGAUUCAGCGGCGGACGGGUGAGUAAUGCCCAGGAAUCUGCCUGGUAGUGGGGGAUAACGUCCGGAAACGGGCGCUAAUACCGCAUACGUCCUGAGGGAGAAAGUGGGGGAUCUUCGGACCUCACGCUAUCAGAUGAGCCUAGGUCGGAUUAGCUAGUUGGUGGGGUAAAGGCCUACCAAGGCGACGAUCCGUAACUGGUCUGAGAGGCUGAUCAGUCACACUGGAACUGAGACACGGUCCAGACUCCUACGGGAGGCAGCAGUGGGGAAUAUUGGACAAUGGGCGAAAGCCUGAUCCAGCCAUGCCGCGUGUGUGAAGAAGGUCUUCGGAUUGUAAAGCACUUUAAGUUGGGAGGAAGGGCAGUAAGUUAAUACCUUGCUGUUUUGACGUUACCAACAGAAUAAGCACCGGCUAACUUCGUG
rnacentral:rRNA from 1 species